GACGAACGCUGGCGGCAUGCCUAAUACAUGCAAGUCGAGCGAACGGAUGAAGUGCUUGCACUUCUGACGUUAGCGGCGAACGGGUGAGUAACACGUAAGGAAUCUACCUAUAAGCGGGGGAUAACAUUCGGAAACGGGUGCUAAUACCGCAUAAUAUCUUCUUCCGCAUGGAAGAAGAUUGAAAGACGGCUCUGCUGUCACUUAUAGAUGACCUUGCGGUGCAUUAGUUCGUUGGUGGGGUAAUGGCCUACAAAGACGAGGAUGAAUAGCCGACCAGAGAGGGUGAUCGGCCACAUUGGGACUGAGACACGGCCCAAACUCCUACGGGAGGCAGCAGUAGGGAAUCUUCCGCAAGGGGCGAAAGCCUGACGGAGCAAUGCCGCGUGAGUGAAGAAGGCCUUCGGGUCGUAAAACUCUGUUAUAAGAGAAGAACAGAUUGUAGAGUAACUGCUACAGUCUUGACGGUAUCUUAUCAGAAAGCCACGGCUAACUACGUGCCAGCCGCCGCCGUAA
rnacentral:rRNA from 1 species